UACGUAGGGUGCAAGCGUUGUCCGGAAUUAUUGGGCGUAAAGGGUGCGUAGGCGGGUCUUUAAGUCAGGGGUGAAAUCCUGGAGCUCAACUCCAGAACUGCCUUUGAUACUGAAGAUCUUGAGUUCGGGAGAGGUGAGUGGAACUGCGAGUGUAGAGGUGAAAUUCGUAGAUAUUCGCAAGAACACCAGUGGCGAAGGCGGCUCACUGGCCCGAUACUGACGCUGAAGCACGAAAGCGUGGGGAGCAAACAGG
rnacentral:rRNA from 1 species